rnacentral:rRNA from 1 species
ACGCUCGACACCUACGGAGGCAGCAGUGGGGAAUAUUGCACAAUGGGGGAAACCCUGAUGCAGCGACGCCGCGUGAAGGAAGAAGUAUCUCGGUAUGUAAACUUCUAUCAGCAGGGAAGAAAAUGACGGUACCUGGCUAAGAAGCCCCGGCUAACUACGUGCCAGCAGCCGCGGUAAUCUGAGGCGGGCUGGCAAGGC